AUAUUGACUGUGCUAAGGUAGCAUAAUAAUUUGCCUUUUAAUUGAAGGCUAGAAUGAAUGGCUUGACGAGAAAUAAGCUGUCUUAUUUUAUAACAAUGAAUUUUACGUAAGAGUUAAAAGGCUCUUAUUCUCUAAAGGGACGAUAAGACCCUAUAAAGCUUUACUCAAUAAGGUUUAAUAAAAUAAAGGACCAGCUAAAUUAUAUGAGUUAUGCUGGGGCGGCAGAUAGUAAAACACUAUUGGAAAGAACAUGUUGAAUGGAGUUAAUGUAACGUUGGUUCAAAACUAAAUAAUAAGCUACUUUAGGGAUAACAGCACAAUUAUUUCAGAGAGCUCUUAUCGGCGAAAUAGAUUGUGACCUCGAUGUUGGAUUAA
rnacentral:rRNA from 1 species